UGCUCUUUGAAGAAGAAUGUUGAUGACUCAAAUACAGAACCGAACGACAUGACCUAUUUCUGCGUUAUUGUUGCAAGUUAUGGGUUAAAAUCUCGACAGUUGGAUAACUACUAAAUUCGAGCAAAUUAGAAAUGGCUGCGGACAGUCGCAGUCCAUCCGCUAAAGUCCCCAUGCGAGAUGGUAAAGAAAAGGGACAAGUGAGCAGAAUCAAGAAACUUAAGAGAAGAAUAUCAGCAAGUUUUGGCAAGCUUUCUCUCACCAAAGAAGAUACGAUACAUGAAAGCGACCAAGAGUCAGACCCUGGGUCCCUGAGUAAUGGCUACUCGUCUCGUGAUGAAUCUCUCUCCCCUGCUGAUCUCCCCAUCCUGAACGGCAGCGGCCAUACAGCCACCAACGGCAGCGGCAACUGGCGAGACGUCAACCGCGGGCACUCAAAGUCAGCUGUGGUUCCCCGCAUGUCAACUUCAGUCUCAGGCAAACGUCACACCCCUGUUAAGCGGCACCACUCAGCAGGGGACAUGUUGGUGACCAAUUUCCCCACCACUGAAAGCGACCGACUGCAGAGGCCCAAGUCUGAAGGCCAUGCCUACUGUCGCCAGUUCCUCUCCAAGCGAACCUCUAGUUAUGGGGGUCAGUCUCCGUUUGGCCGAGCAGACUCCUACCAUAAACUGGAGCAGCUCGGCGAGGGCUCAUAUGCCACUGUCUACAAAGGUAUUAGCAGCCUGAACAAUCAGGUUGUGGCCCUGAAAGAGAUACGUCUUCAGGAAGAAGAGGGUGCACCUUUCACUGCAAUAAGAGAAGCGUCUUUGCUGAAAGGUUUGCGUCACACCAACAUCGUUACUCUCCAUGACAUCAUUCACACCAAGGAAACACUCACUUUUGUAUUUGAAUAUGUGCAUACAGAUCUAAGUCAAUAUUUAGAAAAGCACCAGGGUGGCUUAAACCCAUUCAAUGUGAAGCUGUUUUUGUUUCAACUGCUGCGGGGUUUGUCCUACUGCCAUGAAAGGAGGAUUCUACACAGGGACCUCAAACCCCAGAAUCUUCUCAUCAGUGAGAUGGGAGAUCUCAAACUAGCUGACUUUGGUUUAGCAAGAGCUAAGUCCAUUCCUAGUCGAACCUACUCCCAUGAAGUGGUCACCUUGUGGUACCGCCCUCCUGAUGUGCUGUUGGGCUCAACUGACUACUCCACAUCACUAGAUAUGUGGGGCGUUGGAUGCAUCUUUACAGAGAUGAUAUCCGGCCUUGCAACCUUUCCCGGUAUGAAGGAUGCCUUUGAUCAGCUGGAUAAAAUAUUCAGGGUGCUAGGUACACCAACUGAGUGUACAUGGGAGGGCGUGUCCAAGUAUCCCCAUUAUGAUACAAGUGAAAAAGUUUGGUGUGUUUGUGCGUCAGCCACUGUCAUGUUGUAUACCCAAGCUGUCCUUUGUACAACAUGCUGAAGAUUUAGCUGCUAAAUUAUUACAGAUGGAACCAUGUCGUCGUCUGUCUGCAAAGUUGGCGAUGAAACAUGACUACUUCCGGGACCUGCCUCCAAAGAUACAUGACCUCCCUGAUUCUGCCUCUGUGUUCAACAUUCCUGGGCUGAAGAUGCUACCGGAGAUGGAUGAAGUGGUCUCCAAGAAACCUACCGGACGCAGUGGGAUACGGACAACGCUCAAGG
rnacentral:misc_RNA from 1 species